UACGUAGGGUGCAAGCGUUUGUCCGGAAUUAUUGGGCGUAAAGAGCUCGUAGGCGGUUUGUUGCGUCGGCUGUGAAAUCCCGAGGCUCAACCUCGGGUCUGCAGUCGAUACGAGCAAACUAGAGUGUUGCAGGGGAGACUGGAAUUCCUGGUGUAGCGGUGAAAUGCGCAGAUAUCAGGAGGAACACCGGUGGCGAAGGCGGGGUCUCUGGGGUAACAACUGACGCUGGAGGAGCGAAAGCGUGGGGAGCGAACAGG
rnacentral:rRNA from 1 species